UAUAUAUACACACACUAACAAAUUAACUAGAGCAUAUAUAGGUUGUCGGAUCGCUGACGCUAGCCACUAAUCCUAAAAGUUCGAGCAGUUAGAAAUACGCAACCAAUUCACUUAAAACAUAUAGAUACAGCACUCUACUAGUCUCGAUUGUGACUCGGCCCAACCAAUCUCACGCCACUUUGAACAUAACUUAGUCCAAUCCAGCCUCAUGUCAUUUCGAACAUAACUCGAUCUAAUCUGACCUCCUACUACAGAACAAGAUACUGACCCUUUUAAGCCAAUAUAUCUAGGUGCUAUACA
rnacentral:lncRNA from 1 species